CAAGGCUGACGACGUUUAAGGUAAACUCAGCGAUCAGCACUAAGUCGUAACAAGGUAGCCGUACUGGAAGGUGCGGCUGGAUCACCUCCUUUCUAAGGAG
rnacentral:rRNA from 1 species